ACGGGAGGCAGCAGUGGGGAAUCUUGCCCAAUGGGCGAAAGCCUGAGGCAGCAACGCCGCGUGGGGGAUGAAGGCCCUCGGGUUGUAAACCCCUUUCAGCAGGGACGAACCAAGACGGUACCUGCAGAAGAAGCCCCGGCUAACUACGUGCCAGCAGCCGCGGUAAUACGUAGGGGGCGAGCGUUGUCCGGAUUUAUUGGGCGUAAAGAGCUCGUAGGCGGCUCAGUAAGUCGGGUGUGAAAGCCCCGAGCUCAACUCGGGGAGGCCACCCGAUACUGCUGUGGCUAGAGUCCGGUAGGGGAGCGUGGAAUUCCCGGUGUAGCGGUGAAAUGCGCAGAUAUCGGGAGGAACACCAGCGGCGAAGGCGGCGCUCUGGGCCGGAACUGACGCUGAGGAGCGAAAGCGUGGGGAGCGAACAGGAUUAGAUACCCUGGUA
rnacentral:rRNA from 1 species